GUUACUUCAUACUUUGACCAGGGCUACAUCACACAGCCAGUUCUACAAUACAUAUAUCUCUGCCGAUCGAACAUCACUGCCAGCUGUUAUUAUUGUUAAACGACUCGCUGUAGCAACGACUUUUAAGCUGGCAACGCCGCUCUUCAUUCUCUCUGGGAGAGCAGUUGUCAUUGUGUGCGUGAGCAGUAGCGUCGUGUAAUUUAUAAAUGGUUUAAGGGUGUUUUAACACAAUACUUUACAGAUCCCCUCGUGUUUUUGUUUAUGCUGACAGCGCCUAUGUAGCGAUUGAGUUGCGUUUUGCCGGCAAACUAGCUGUGUACGACAACAUAAAUUCGUUUGUCAGCAACAUCGUCAGUAAAUUGCUGAGAGUGAGCGCGAGAGCAAACGUUAACCCAAAUAAACUGUAAGAGUGUGUGAGCAAGCGAGCGUGCGAACGAAACUCAGCAACAACAGCAGCAGCAACAGCAAUUUCACCGCGGCAGCAACAGCAGCAGCCACAGCGACAACAGCAACAGUAACAAUAGCAGCAGCAACAACAAAACAAGUGAAAAGGCAAGAAACGGACAUAACGAACUGCAGUGCACGCAGCAACAUCUGCAGCAACAGCACCAGCGGCGA
rnacentral:sRNA from 1 species